AGGAUAAACGCUGGCGGCGUGCCUAACACAUGCAAGUCGAACGUCCUACGCGCAAGUGUAGGGAGUGGCGGACGGGUGAGUAACACGUGGGCAAUCUACCUUUCGGUGAGGAAUACCGGCGAGAAAUCGCCGACAAUACCGCAUACGCUUCGCAAGAAGCAAAGUCGCAAGACGCCGGAGGAGGAGCCUGCGCCCGAUUAGCUAGUUGGUGAGGUAAGAGCUUACCAAGGCGACGAUCGGUAGCUGGUCUGAGAGGAUGAUCAGCCACACUGGGAUUGAGAACGGCCCAGACUCCUACGGGGGGCAGCAGUGAGGAAUUUUCGUCAAUGGGGGCAACCCUGAACGAGCAACGCCGCGUGCAGGAUGACGCUUUUCGGAGUGUAAACUGCUUUUCUCGGGGAAGAGCAAGGACGGUACCCGAGGAAUCAGCCCCGGCUAACUACGUGCCAGCAGCCGC
rnacentral:rRNA from 1 species